AAAAAGAUAAGCUAAUUUUUAAGCUUCUAAGUUCAUACCUUAGAUAUAGAGUAUCUCUUCUUUUUA
rnacentral:tRNA from 1 species